rnacentral:rRNA from 1 species
AUUGAACGCUGGCGGCAGGCAUAACACAUCCAAGUCGAGCGGAGCGGCGGACGGGUGAGUAAAGCCUAGGAAUCCGCCUGGUAGUGGGGGAUAACGUCCGGAAACGGGCGCUAAUAACGCAUAAUAUCAGAUGAGCAUAGGUCGGAUUAGCUAGUUGUUGGGGUAAAGGCCUACCAAGGCGACGAUCCGUAACUGGUCUGAGAGGAUGAUCAGUCACGAUGGAACUGAGACACGGUCGAGACUCCGACGGGAGGCAGCAGUGGGGAAUAUUGGACAAUUGGCGAAAGCCUGAUCCAGCCAUGCCGCGUGUGUGAAGAAGGGCUUCGGAUUGUAAAGCACUUUAAGUUGGGAGGCGUUACCAACAGAAUAAGCACCGGCUAACUUCGUGCCAGCAGCCGCGGUAAUUC